UCGGCUCCCUAUAAUAGUGGAAGCCAUGUCCAUACCACACAUUGUGAAAAGGGUACAGCCACCGAUUGACUUUGAGCUGUACGGACCACCAAGGAAUCCUUAAAGGAACAACUCUUCACUCUGCUGCCAUUCCGAUAAAACCAGGAGUCAGGGAUACAUAAAUAUAUUACAUUCUAUGCAUAUGAGUAGAUAACAACUGCAAUAGAGGAAUAUUUAUGAAU